CCAAAUCAACGAGCUGCCAAAUUGAGCAUAGCCUAGCCAUAACAAGCAUCAGGAACAUCAAAUUGACAAACAACGCCAUGGAAUCCAGCUUGACUCUCCUUCCCGCGCAUCUCUUGGCUGCUGCCAUGCAGGGGCAACAACGGCAAGCAAAAGGGGGAUCUGGCCUGGGGCUCGGGAGAGGAAGCAGCAAGCGGCAACGCGCCGGAGCGGCACUCGCGGGCUGGAGUAGUUGCGUGGGGCACGCCGGCAACAUCGCACAGCAGGCUCUGGCAUGGGCGCCUACGCGAGACGGGUGGAGGGAGAGAAGGAGAUAGGGAAAGAGAGGUAGAAGAAGAAGAUGAAGGCUGAC
rnacentral:lncRNA from 1 species